CCUACGGGUGGUAGCAGUGAGGAAUAUUGGUCAAUGGCCGAGAGGCUGAACCAGCCAAGUCGCGUGAGGGAAGACGGCCCUACGGGUGGUAAACCUCGUUUGUAGGGGAGAAAAGCGGAGCACGUGAGGGUCCUUGAGUGUACCCGAAGAAAAAGCAACGGCUAACUCCGUGCCAGCAGCCGCGGUAAGACGGAGGAUGCGAGCGUUAUCCGGAUUUAUUGGGUUUAGAGGGGACGCAGGCGCAGGUGCAAGUCAGCGGUCAAAUUGCGGGGCUCAACCCGGGACUGCCGCUGAAACUGCAUCCCUUGAGUGCGCGAGACGUAUGCGGAAUGCGUGGUGUAGCGGUGAAAUGCAUAGAUAUCACGCAGAACUCCGAUUGCGAAGGCAGCAUACCGGAGCGCAACUGACGCUCAUGCACGAAAGCGUGGGUAUCGAACAGGAUUAGAUACCCUUGUAGUC
rnacentral:rRNA from 1 species